GUGCACGGAAAUUCUUUUUCCAUGAAGUAUAGAAGCUGAGGAACUGGUUUGGUUCCGGGAAUGAUCAGAAACAGUAGAACAUGCAGUGGCUAGGAUUUGCAGGUGAUUCAGGAAUGUUGCAUCCUGGAAUUAGCCAUGGAACUUGAGCACGUAGCCGCCGUUCAGACUCUCCUCUCUUGGGCUUGACGCCGCUCUCCCAGUACACUCAGCUUUAGUCUGCGACUUGAGAGUGGAAGAUACUGUGGUCAAUAUAAAGAUGCUUUCACCACCAUCCCGCCUCCAGCUGCUGCCUUGGGCAUUGAGUUCCUUGCAUGAAAUUGCAACAAGGAAAUAAGAGAAAGACCCUGCAAGCAAAGGGAAGUUGUGGGGAAGAUCCGGCAAAGUUGCUUUAAAUUGCCACAAGCGCAUUCUUUUAUUGCAAUUAAGCAAGUUGCCCUUUGGAAUCAACUUCGUAACUGCGUUUUCCAUCUGAAGUUAUUAAUUUACAUAACAAUACUUUCCUCAGAGUGGAUGAAUGGAUAGAUUCUGAAUGGAUCCAGCCAAAUGAGACACCCAUUGAUUGCAAUGAGUCAGUGGCAACAGUGAAAAUUGUAUUCUAACAUAACCUUUAAAUUCAUGGCCUGGCAGCUCAUGUCACGUGGCGAACGGUGAAGCCAGGAGCAGUGAUUAACAAACUUUCAAUGCUCCCUCUCAACCAGGAUACCUCCAUUGGUGGUAUUCAGUCCGCACUGUUCAUCCUAUGGUAAGUAACUCCUUUCUCCUCUCUAUCCACCUAAAACUAAGUUCAAUUUAUCUUCCUAUUGGUUGUUUGUCAGACUUUGUUAAUGUAUAGUUCUUGAUAAAGAUUGUAUUUCUUUAUUUUUCCUGUAAACGCCUGCGGGAAAAUGAAUUUCAAGGUAGGAUAUGAUGACAUGUACUUACUUGAUAAUAAGUUUACGUUGAUUUUUGACAUUGAUUUCUAUUUUUAUCCUCCACUUUUGACAAAAGCCCAUUGAUCUGUAACAUUAAUGUUGCUUUUCUUUCCACAGAUGCUGUCUGAUCGAUUGAGCAUCUCCAGACUUUUCUGUUUCUUAUUGCAGAUUUCUGAUAUUUGUUAUUUUUUAAAAAGUUUGUACUUUCGAACCAGAUGCUUUUAUUUUACCCACCACUGCCACCAAGUGGUGAUGUGCAAAAGCACACUCCCCAAAGCUAAUUUGAUUUACUGUAAUUUCAAAUUCAUGUCAUCUGGAAAUACUUAUCCUAGGAAAUCUUUAUAAUUUAGCCCUUUAGGACAGAGAUAUUCAAUAAUAAAUGAGGUGCAUAGAAAAUCUACCUUUCCUUGUUGCAGUAGAGAGCAAAUAAAAAGAGAUAUUAUCCCUUUCUACUAUCAAGUGAGAUCAAAUUAAUUUCCUGGAUUAUUCAGUCAGUUUUGAAGCUCAGAUUUAUGUGUGGUAAUAGAACCAAAACUUGAGUCUUCUGCUGCUCUGGGAAGUUUUAUGGAAAGGCGCCAGUGCAAGGUUUUGUAAGGACAAAUUGGAUUUGGCUCUAACAUAAUCCAAGCUAAAAUCCACAAACAUGGGUCAAUUUGAAUUGGACCAAUCAAAACUCAGUCCAAUCAAGGAAAGCUUAGCAUACAAAUGGAAACUGAAGCUCCUACUCUGUUUCCUUUUGGGUUACCCAAUCAAUGAGCCAAGCAUGGAUGUGAAGAAAUUUCACCUUAUUUCGUGCUCUCUUCUCACUGCUGCUCUCAGGAAGAAGGUACUGGAGCCUCAGGACUCACACCACCAGGUUCAGGAACAGUUUCUAUCUCUCAACAAGCAGGCUCUUGAACUAAAGGGGUAACUUCACUCGCCCUAUCAUUGAAAUGUUCUCACAACCCAAGGGCUCACUUUCAAGAACUCCUCAUCUCAUGUUCUCUAUGUUUAUUGCUCAUUUAUUUACUAUUAUUAUUUUUUCAUUUUGUAUUUACACAGUGUGUUGAUUUUUGAACACUGGUUGAGCACCAAAGUCAGUGUGGACUUUCUUUGAUUCUGUCAGGGUUAUUAUUCUAUAUGUUUAUUGAGUACGUCCACAAAAAUGAAACUCAGGGUUGUAUAUGGUGACAUACAGUAUAUGUACAUUGAUAAUAAAUUUACUUUGAACUCUGAAGUUUUAACUUUUUAAAUGACUGGCCUCUAAUCAUGACACCAUGUCCUCUUUCCUCUGGAAGGAAAUGUUUUUGGUAUUUAAUAUGUCAGUCUUCUCCAUAUUCCAGUCAGAUUAAGCUAAUUUUCAACCUGGUUACACUUGGACACAUAUUCCUUGGACUGUCAAUUCAAACAGCUGGGCUUCAAUAUCCUCUUAACUUGCAUCACACCUAGUGUAGUGACCUCUUGUGGCUUUAAAUGGUUUGACAUCAGCCAUUUAUUUUAAAUAUCCGAAUGUCACAGGCUAAUAUAGCACAGAAACAGGCCCUUCAGUCUGCAGAGACUGCCAAGCACCCAUUGGUAUUUGUCCUACACUGAUCACACUUAAUUGGAAUAUUGUAAGCAAUUUUGGGCCCCACAUCUCAGAAAGAAAGUGCUGGCAUUGGAGAAUGUCCAAAGAAUGCUCCCAGGAACGAAAGGAUUAACAAAUGAGGAGUGUUUGAUGUCUCUGGACCUGUACUCAUGGGAAUUUAGAAAAAUGUGUGAGGGGUGGUGGGAAGUGAUCUAACUGAAACCUAUUGAAUAUUGAAAGGCCUAGAUAGAGUGGAUGUGAAGAGGAUGUUCCCAGUAGUUGGAGAGUAUAGGUUCAGAAGUCACAGCCUCAGAAUAGAAGGAUGUGUGUUUAGAUCAGGGACGAGGGAGGAGAUUCUUUAGCUGGAGAGUGGUAAAGGUUGAUAGGUUCUUGAUGAGUAAAAGAAUCAAAGGCUGCGGGGAGAAGGAGAAUAAGAUUGAGAGCAGAAAUAGAUCACCCAUGAUCGAAAGGGGCUAAGGGUGAAAAUAAUUGAGUCAUAUUCGAAUAGUAGAGCAGAUUCAGUGGGCCAUAUGGCCUAAUUCUGCUUCCAUGUCUUAUUCUCUUACAGAUCAAGGGUUAACAUAACCACUGUGAUCUAAUUGUGGUCUCAAGAUGUUUCUUACAUCCUCCAAAGAAUAGGGAUUUCUCAGUCAUUUAACCUGAAUAUAUCCGCACUAUUUACCAUAAACCUAGCUGAAUAACUCUCCAGUUAGUCACUUUGGUUAUUCUGCCUUUGAGACAACUGUGCAAUUAUCAAUGAAACAAGUUCUCACAAAUGCGUUCGAACUUUGACCAGUGCCAUGAAUGGCACCUGUGUGGCAGCUGAAGACUGUUUCGAUUGUGGAGACACUGAUUCCUUUAACUAUCCCAACUCUGUUUCAAAAGGACCUGUUGAAAGGUAAAGUGGCAAGGUGGAAGACUUGCUGCAGGGCUCCCAGAAUACAUGCGAUCCAGCAUGUUCAAUAGUGCAAUUAUGCAGUGCAUGUUGGGUGAAGGCCUGUAUCACAGGACUUGCAUUCACUGUGGAACCAAGGGCACAGCUGAAGACAGGACAGGCUCCAAGUCAAACGCUUCAACUGUAGUGAAGGAUAGGUUAAAAAUUAUGAAGAGCUCAUUGUAAAAUUACGCACUUAAGUAAAUCAAUUAGUUGUCAGCGGAUUCUGGAGUCAGAGAUCCACACAAGCACGAGAAAUGAUUUCUGAUAAUACCCUGGAUUAACAAAUAGGUGGACUGGAUUUCUAGGCCCAGUGUUUGGAGUCACAUCAUCAGUGAGUCCAGAAUUUGAGGCCUAGUGUUUGGAAUCCAAACUGAGGAUUGAGGCCCAAAGGUCAAAUCAGACGCUGAGGCCCUUUGGCUGGAGCCAAGUCUGCAAAUGUCUAUGAGUCUGUUUAUCAGAGGCCCUUGGUAUUAUUAAGGAUCAUUUUUAGAUUUAAUUCUCACUUUCCUAAGUUAUUGUUUGUUAUGUGUACUACUGUGCUAUACACCCUGGUUCUCAUGUACACGUAUAUAGUUAAAUGACAGUGAAAUUGACUUGAGGAGGUCAAAGCCUGGUGUGUGCAUCCCUGAAUCAAUGUCCGCUAGAGGCUGGAGAAUUGUCCUGGAGUUGCAAGACCAUGUAUGUGUGUGGGUGGGAAAGAAGGGGGAAACGGGACUUGUUUUUGCUGCUGUUUUUUUGUUGCUUGUUGUGUUCUGCGUAGUUCUGCUGAGCAUCGUGGACAUGGCAUGUUGGCAUCGGAAUGUGCGUUGGCACUUGCGGGCUGCCCUCAGCACACCCUCAGGUUGUUCCACUGUGUGCUUCACUGUGCCCCUGACAAAUAAAUUAGAUUGUUGAAUCUUACAGAUAAUGGACUAGGUAGCUGUUGUGGCGACCCACUUCCCAGCGCACUCGAACCGGCUCACAAAUCGGCGCACGCCAGCAUUGAGGCCAGUCCCAAAAAGUGCGCCAAGUCUGCUUCACCAGCAAGGGGAAAAGCCCGCGAGCGGGACGGGACUGUGAAUACUCACCCCCUACAGCAUUCCCGCCCGGGGAGUGCGGGAUCAGGAAGGCUCUAAAGCGAGGCCGCGAAGCUCGAAUAAAUCUUUUUUGCAACUGCAGCUCAAUAACUACGUGUCGUUAUUUCAGCGCUGCGUGUAGCACACCGCUACACUGUGGCUUAAUCAGUUCCAUGUUUUGUGUGAGUCUCUUUAUAUUUCACAGAUCAUUUAAGGCUAAUGAAGUAGCCUUAUAUCAAAGUUCAAGUUCAAAGUUCAAAUUAAAUUUAUCAUCAAGGUACAAUGGGUGAUUGAUAAGUUUGUGCCAGUUAGAAUGCUCUCCAUGGUACAUUUGUAGAAGUUUUUGAGUGUUUUACUAAGGAAGGGAAAUGGGAAAUAAUUCAUUUGGGAUAUCAAGCCCAUUGUCAAAGAGGAAAGAGUCAACAGAUGCUUUUCUACUGAUGUGUACGAAGGAGAGUGCUCUUGUGACCUAUGCAUAUGCCAUCCUCAAACAGACAAAAGGAUAUUGUGCAUUCCACCUCUCCAGAUAAUCACAGGUCUCGGGUAAAAGAAUGCAAUUCCAUUCUUCAGUCUUAUAGCCCAGUGAGUGAUGAGAAAUGGUAUUAGAGCAUAUUCUGGAGUUGGGGUAUAUAGCAAAUAUUAACAUUAGCAAUCAAACUUUGGAGCUGAACAUGGAUUGUAGAUUAAGUUUAAAAUGUAGCCCUGAACAAUAGUUCCCUGGAGCUGUGGACACCAGUUAGUUAAAAACCAGACAAUGCUGAUUAACAUUUAUUUUGGGUGUCUGGAGUGUGGGUGUGAAAAAGGAGAUGUGAAAAUUAUAUGUAAUUCAAAUUAAGCAUUGUAGAUACAUUGUGACUAUGGAAUUGUCCAGUUGCUACUUUUGAUCUUUAGCAUAUAAAAAUGUCAUGUAAUAUUGGGUCAAGCAGCCCUCUUCC